AUACGGAGGGUGCGAGCGUUAUCCGGAUUCACUGGGUUUAAAGGGUGCGCAGGCGGGUUUUUAAGUCAGCGGUGAAAUCUGUGGGCUCAACCCACAAACCGCCGUUGAUACUAUUGGCCUUGGAUCCCCUUGAGGGCAGCGGAAUGGGGCAUGUAGCGGUGAAAUGCAUAGAUAUGCCCCGGAACACCGAUUGCGUAGGCAGCUGCCUAAGGGGGCAUCGACGCUGAGGCACGAAAGCGUGGGUAGC
rnacentral:rRNA from 1 species